CCUACGGGGGGCAGCAGUGGGGAAUAUUGGUCAAUGGCCGCAAGGCUGAACCAGCCAAGUCGCGUGAGUGAUGACGGUCCUAUGGAUUGUAAACCUCUUUUGUCAGGGAGCAAAGAGCGCCACGUGUGGCUCUUUGCGAGUACCUGAAGCACAAGCAUCGGCUAACUCCGUGCCAGCAGCCGCGGUAAUACGGAGGAUGCGAUGGUUGUCCGGAUUUAUUGGGUUAAAAGGGUGCGCAGGGGGAAGGUCAAGUCAGCGGUAAAAUUUCGGGGUUAAACCCCGUAGUGCCGUUGAAACUGGGGGUCUUGAGUGAGAGAGAAGGAGGCGGAAUGCGUGGUGUAGCGGUGAAAUGCAUAGAUAUCACGCAGAACUCCGAUGGCGAAGGCAGCAUACUGGCGCUCAACUGACGCUCAUGCACGAAAGCGUGGGGAUCGAACAGGAUUAGAUACCCUUGUAGUC
rnacentral:rRNA from 1 species